AGAAGCAGGAAAAGAGAAGCUAAGGAAAGGAAAGAGAGAAGAAAGAAGAAGAAAAUGCUGAAAAGGCAGAACGGGGGGGACAGGACAGUCCCCGAGCAACAGUAUCAAUGUGCGGAGGAGCACCUUGUGAGGCAGCUGGUGGAUCACGAAAAGCAGCGCCAGCAGUGAGGCCAACGGAAAAGCAACGCGAAGCCAAAUUGCCGACUGGGUGGCUUGGCUCCCUGCAUUGGACGUUAGUCGGAGGUGCUGCCAAAGCGAAUAUUGGGCCCUUGAGUGCUCAUUAUUCCACAUGGAAUAUAUUCCUCAUGUUGAGGAAGGCAUCGGGACCGAGAGUUUCAGACAAAAUGACUAUUUCCAUCCACUUGGACGUGAAAGAAUUAAACGACGCUAGAAAAGUGGCAUGGAGCAGUGAAAUGGUGAACCUUGCAUCCUCUCUCCCGCUCCCGGGUUGAUUUCACGACCG